rnacentral:rRNA from 1 species
GAUGAACGCUAGCUACAGGCUUAACACAUGCAAGUCGAGGGGAAACGAUAUUGGAAGCUUGCUUCCGAUAGGCGUCGACCGGCGCACGGGUGAGUAACGCGUAUCCAACCUGCCCAUCACUUGGGGAUAACCUUGCGAAAGUAAGACUAAUACCCAAUGACGUCUCUAGAAGACAUCUGAAAGAGAUUAAAGAUUUAUCGGUGAUGGAUGGGGAUGCGUCUGAUUAGCUUGUUGGCGGGGUAACGGCCCACCAAGGCGACGAUCAGUAGGGGUUCUGAGAGGAAGGUCCCCCCACAUUGGAACUGAGACACGGUCCAAACUCCUACGGGAGGCAGCAGUGAGGAAUAUUGGUCAAUGGACGAGAGUCUGAACCAGCCAAGUAGCGUGCAGGAAGACGGCCCUAUGGGUUGUAAACUGCUUUUAUAAGGGAAUAAAGUGAGUCUCGUGAGACUUUUUGCAUGUACCUUAUGAAUAAGGACCGGCUAAUUCCGUGUCCAGCAGCCG